rnacentral:lncRNA from 1 species
GCGGGGGCUGCCCAGCCCCGAGGGGGCGAAGCUGAGGUAAAAUGAGCAGCCCCGCGGAGCCGCCGAGGCCGAGGGCCCCGAGCCUCAGCGCUCCCGGCUGCGCCCCGUGUGCGCAACCCGCUCUGUCAGAGCCGUGAGCCGGGAAGCGGCGCUGCCGCGACCCCCCUGGCAGCGGCGCGCCGGGCUGCACCGAGGCCUCUGCAGCAGAGCCCAGGGGCGCCGCCGCGCUAGUUCUGCGCCGACAGCCGCUGGCCGGGCCCAGGCCCUCUUCCUCGGCUCGCCGCACCGGAGCCCAGCCCAGGCAGCCUUAGGGGCCUCGCUGAUUCUCGCAGAGGUCAUCCCUUCCCAAGCCUGUUCGGCCCACUGGAGAGCAUGCUUGUGAUUACAGUAAAUCACAUAUAUCAAGAAGAAAAGGGGACCAAACCUGAAUCCCUCCAGGAGCUUGGGCAGGGCAGACUGUGUUCUUGCACCCUUCUGCUAUGAAAACCUACCAGUUUCCCAUAUUGCUGUGCCUGAGAAAUCAUCUGCUGGUUUUUAUAAUCAGUCACUAAUGAGGCUGGGCUCCCCACAGCUCUUACUGUGGCUGAAAGUUCCAGUGUUCAUCAUCAAUGAGGAAGGACAAAUUCACUGCGUAUGCAAAACACACUGUGGUCUUAGCAAGACUUUCCAUGUGGAACUGCAGGUCAGAAGCAGAUGCAGCACAUUUCAGAAGACUCAAAUUUUAUCAAGGAAUAAUCGCCAAAUCUUAUCAGCUCAAGGCAAGUGUAUAUUUGGGUUGAAAUCUCACACUUAUGUACUUUGACCCCUUUAGAUCUCUCUC